GACCUGAGCCGAAGGCAGCGGCUUAACCCACUGAGCCACCCAGGCGUCCCUCAAAGGGAGUUUUUGAUUGAAGGCCAUGCGCAGGCCGAGGGAAUAAAUGCUGUGGCAGUUCAGACAUGUAGUGGACCGUUGUGGCCAGAAGUGGUCAGAGAUGGCUCUGAGGACAAGAAGGGAGGUUCAGGUUUAUCUCGCAUGAUGGGAGAGAUUUGGGUACCAGGAGAAAAAGGAGCUCAGGCAGGGAACAGAGUCUGAACAAAGCAAAGACGUAGGAGAGGACAGUGUGGGCUUUGGAAGAAAGGCGGGCCUGGCAAACUCAGGAAAAUAACUAAUCAGAGAAAGGGUGAGACGGGAAAGCUGGGACUAAGGCACGGAGAACUCUUAAUAUUAAGCUAAAUGAUCAUUUUGGAUCCAUAUUUAUGUCUUAUAAAUCCUAGCUACGAAUGAAUAAAUGUGAGGUGAACAGAACAUGAGCAGGAAGACAAGCGAAGGCUCUUCUGCUGCUCAGGUACUCACUGUCCAACCCAGGGGCAGCGAAAGUCUUUCCGCAGUGAGCCUCCCAGCGAGAAGCUGCGAUGGCUUCUGAAGCUGUUACCAGUCCAUCACACCUUCGUGUAAGUGAGGGAUCUAAAAUGUGGGUUUUGACACGGAGGCUGGAGAGAAAGGAAAAUGGGACCUGCGUGCUUGAUGUGGAAGAUCGUCAGAGACUCAGACAGAAAGUGCUGGAAAGAGAACGCAGAGGGGAGGAGCGGGCAUCCUGACAAACUUUGCCCCAGGGCAGUUUCGCUGAGUUCUAGCAAGGCAUCCUGACACCAGCCAGGCUGUCCAGUUCUGAACAAAAACGUUUCGUCUGCUCAGUGGGAUGACGGCAUCAGCCGGAUGAUUUAAAGGACGGCAGCAGGCAGCCGAGUGUGUAGUCGCUGGCGUCCCUAACACGUGGGGGAGCUUGGCUAAUCUUAACCUUAGCAGGUUUCAGAACCUCGCCAGCAGCUGCCUGCUACAGAGGAACUCUGCUCCAGCCACACCAUGUUCUUGCUGUUCUGGGAGAAGACCGCCAUGUGCCAGCCUCAAGGCUUCUCAUCAUUCUACUCUCCUGUUCCACUAAAUGAUAAGCUCUUACAGCAGCUUAAAUAAAAGAGCAAUGACUUUAUCAACCAAAGGAAGUCUGGAAGUAAGCAGACCUCCGACAUGGGGGUCAUCAAAGAUCCAGGCUGCUUUUUUCCUUUUCCUGCUCUGUCACCUUAGAGUGUCUUCCAUUUGAAUGGUUCAAGAUGGCGCUGGACCACUAAAAGUCUACCUGUGUUCCAGGCAGUAGGAAGGAGGAAGGCGAGGAGGACAAAAAUGGAAUACUUCCCAGCUGAGUCAAUUUCCUCCCAGCAGACUUCCCAGAGACCUGAUGAAAUGCCUACUUAGAUCUCACUUGGCCUCAGUUAAUGUCAAGAGAAGAUGGGAAAUGAAAUUUUUCUAGCUUAUCUUUUGUCACACCAAAUAAAUUGGGGUUCUAUCCUAAAGAAGGAAGGGAGUAUGGAUACUUGGAGACACCUAGAGUCUACCACAGAUAUUCACUGGAAGUACUUUUUAAUAGUAAAACUUUGGAAAUAAUAUAAAUCUGAAAACAUGAUUGACUCAGCAAAUUAACAGAUUCAUCAAUAUCAUGUGUGCUUAAAUAUUACAUUUUAGAAGAAUAUUUAAUGACAUGAUAAAAUGUUUAUGAUGCUGAGUAAAAAAGAGAUGACUGCUUUUCUAAGAAAACAAUUAAGAUAUUCUAUAAAAAUCAUAAAAGAGAGGGACAGCUG